GACGAACGCUGGCGGCGUGCCUAAUACAUGCAAGUAGAACGCUGAAGGAGGAGCUUGCUUCUCUGGAUGAGUUGCGAACGGGUGAGUAACGCGUAGGUAACCUGCCUGGUAGCGGGGGAUAACUAUUGGAAACGAUAGCUAAUACCGCAUAAUAGUAGAUGUUGCAUGACAUUUGCUUAAAAGGUGCAAUUGCAUCACUACCAGAUGGACCUGCGUUGUAUUAGCUAGUUGGUGGGGUAACGGCUCACCAAGGCGACGAUACAUAGCCGACCUGAGAGGGGGAUCGGCCACACUGGGACUGAGACACGGCCCAGACUCCUACGGGAGGCAGCAGUAGGGAAUCUUCGGCAAUGGACGGAAGUCUGACCGAGCAACGCCGCGUGAGUGAAGAAGGUUUUCGGAUCGUAAAGCUCUGUUGUAAGAGAAGAACGAGUGUGAGAGUGGAAAGUUCACACUGUGACGGUAUCUUACCAGAAGGGGACGGCUAACUACGUG
rnacentral:rRNA from 1 species